AUGCUUGCUUCACCAGCCCACAUACUGAAAUGAGAUGAUAUGGAGAAGAUCAGUAUGGUCUCUGUGCAAGGAUGACAUGCAAACCUGUGCAUUAUUGUAUAUUGUU
ensembl:snRNA U6 U6 spliceosomal RNA